UACAGAGGGGGCAAGCGUUGUUCGGAAUUACUGGGCGUAAAGCGUGCGCAGGCGGCUAUGCAAGACAGAUGUGAAAUCCCCGGGCUCAACCUGGGAACUGCAUUUGUGACUGCAUGGCUAGAGUACGGCAGAGGGGGAUGGAAUUCCGCGUGUAGCAGUGAAAUGCGUAGAUAUGCGGAGGAACACCGAUGGCGAAGGCAAUCCCCUGGGCCUGUACUGACGCUCAUGCACGAAAGCGUGGGGAGCGAACAGG
rnacentral:rRNA from 1 species